UACGUAGGGAGCCAGCGUUGUCCGGAUUUACUGGGCGUAAAGAGCGCGUAGGCGGUCGCGUAAGCGGAGGGUGAAAUCCCGGGGCUCAACUCCGGGGCUGCUUUCCGAACUGCACGACUAGAGUACGGGAGAGGACAGUGGAAUUCCUGGUGUAGCGGUGGAAUGCGUAAAUAUCAGGAGGAACACCCGUGGCGAAGGCUGCUGUCUGGAACGUUACUGACGCUGAGGCGCGAAAGCUAGGGGAGCGAACGGG
rnacentral:rRNA from 1 species